GGAUUGCUCGUGUCGGUGUGCCGGGUAGUAUCGGGGGGUGCAGGGGUUGGUCGGAUUUAUGGGGUUUUCUGUGGGCGUAGGUGUGCUGGUAAGUCUGUUUUGAAAGUCUGCGGCACAACCGUUGAGGGUGGCUGGAUACUGCCGGUCUUGAACGUGUUGGGGGCUGUCGGAACGGAUCGUGUAGCUGUGAAAUGCAUAGAUAUGUUCCAGAACACCAAUGGCGUAUGCAGGCAGCUAGGACUGAGUUGACGCUGAGGCACGAGAGCAUGGGGAGCAAACAGGAUUAGAUACCCUGUAGUC
rnacentral:rRNA from 1 species